GAUGAACGCUGGCGGCGUGCCUAAUACAUGCAACUCGAGCGAAGCGGGGACGGGUGAGUAACACGUGGAUAACCUCCUAUAAGCCUGGGAUAACUUCGGGUAACCGUAGCUAAACCGGAUACUUACAGAUGGCUCCGUGCUGCAUUAGUUAGUUGGUAAGGUAACGGCUUACCAAGGCAACGAUGCAUAGCCGACCUGCGAGUGGGAUCGGUCACACUGGAACUGAGACACGUACCAGGAUCCGACGGGAGGCAGCAGUAGGGAAGCUUCCGCAAUGAGCGAAAGCCUGAGAGAGCAACACCGCGUGAGUGAGGAAGGUCUUCGGUUCGUAUAACUCUGUUAUUAGGGAAGCGGUACCUAACCAGAAAGCCGCGGCUAACUGCGUGCCAGCAGCCGCGGUAAUAC
rnacentral:rRNA from 1 species